UUUCCUUGAAAAGUAUCAAAAUGCUUGCACAUUGUCUCAAAAUUCUUGGUUUCUUGUUGGAUAAGCAACAAAAAUAUAGUGAAAAUGGUGACUGAUCACAACCCCAAACUUAGCUCAUUGCUUUUCCUCAAGUAAUAUCCUAUACGAGAAAGUGUCACUUCCCAAAAUUUGUAUUCUUACCAUGAUACUGUUGAGAUCUUUCGC
rnacentral:lncRNA from 1 species